AUCCCUGGGCCUGGGCCUACCUAGGUGAAGACAGGCAUUUUUGUUUUCCUGCCCGGAUGUUGCAUUUCCCAAGACCACCCUGGCCUGCCAUGCCCUCAUCCUGUGCCUUUAAAAACCCCCGAGACCCUGGCAGGCAGACGCACAAGCAGCUGGACAUUGAGAGGAGCAUAUAGGCAGAGAAUACAGGGGCUGCUGGAUGUCGAAAGGAACGCACCAGCAUAGGAGCACACCGGCAUGCUGGCAGGCCAUUGACCAGCGGAAGAAUGCAGAGUUUGUCGCGGGAGGUCAGAGAAGAGUCAGGCCGCCAUACCUGACUCCAGGAGAAAACCGUCUCCCUUCUGGUUCCCCCGUCUGCCGAGAGCUACUUCCACUCAAUAAAACUUUCCACUCAUUCUUCAAGCCCACGUGUGAUCCAAUUCUUCCCGUACACCAAGGUCUCGCUGUGUUUCCCAGGCUGGGUGCAGUGGCUAUUCAAAGGUACAAUGAUAGCUCACUGCAGCCUGGAACUCCUGGACUCAAGCGAUCCUCCUGCCUCAGCUGCGACUAACAGGUCAAAACAGUCACAAGCCUGCUCAAAUUCGGAAAGAGGGGACGGAAAUGGAACCUCUUCAUGGGAGGAAGAAUUGGAAAAAUGAAUGUAAUUUGACAUAUGUCUUGAGUCUGGUUGGCUUCUGAGGAACUUGUGUGCAUCUCAUCAGUAUGCAUCUUAAGAACUGAAAUGACCCUACUUCAGCAUUGUGAGAAGACAUGCAUUCUCUUCGUAUAAAUAAUGUGGAUCUUACAUGUAAAGUAUUAUAAAGAUUAGCUGUUUAACAACUUAAAUAAGCUUGUGAAUAAUAAAUUAAUAACAAUGUUAUGCUAAUACGUAACUAUGAUAUUUGCUGAACAAAAUAAAUUUGCCUACUUUGGAAGCAGAUUGGGUGGUUUAAUAUAUCAGCAAAAGAGUGUUUUUAAAAAAUAUCAAAGUUCUGUUAAUCAAAACGUUUAUUGUAGGACAGUUAGUAAUGUUUUGUUUGCCAACUUAUAUUACAAAGUCUCUGUCUUAAGUGUUUCCUUGCAAAUAAAAUGACAAUACUGCCUUACAUUUUAUUACUUUAGAGUUUGCAAAAUAUCUUCAUUAUAAUAUUUCAUUUAGUAGACAUGCCUAUGGGAACAUUACUUCCAGAAUUAAAAACAUUAUUUUUGUUUUGGUAUAUUUUUAAACUACAAAUGAUAGAAAGGCAAGUAAAUGUAAGUUUUUCUCUAGUUAUUUGUUCAAAUGCUAAUUUAAAACAUUUGUACAUUUCUAAUACAAACAUUCCUUAUUUGAGAAAAAAUGGAUUUCUUAAAAACAAAAUGCAUUUUAAAGCAGAGAGACAGGGCAUUGAGCUGAAAAUGGUGGCUGGAAGUUGGGAUCUGUAAGAGAAGUUGAAUGUGCCCCGAGGCAUAAAGCUGCUAAUUUUGUUUUAUUGGAUUUUACUGUAGCUAUUAAUAUAUUUUGCUGGAGAUUUAUGUGAUCAAUUUAUCUUAUGGCCAGAACUAAUUCCCUUAGUAUAUUUUAUUAGAAUAUGUGACUUUUUCUAAAUUUAGCUUUAUUUUUCAUAUUUUCCAUAAAUGGCAAAGAUUCUAUGUUUCCAGACAUGUUAAGUAUUGCAAGAAUUAUUGGAGCACCUAAAGAUAAAUAAUAUCAAAAUAGUGUCAUUGUUUCCCUUAGUUUCUCCUUCUCCCCCACAAAUAAACCAAGAGGUAUUUAGUUAUACUAUUGCAUGUCUCUAGCUUUAUUGGAUUCUUCCAUGAAAGAAAAAUGGAUUACAUUUUUGGUUGUGUGGCCCUCGUUGCCCUAUUGCACUUUUGAUAAUAUUUGCCUGUGACAAGUAGUUAUUUUUCAUUACCACAUUCAAUCAUGGGUAAUAAAAUAUUUUAAUAAUGGUGAAUGUGAAGUUAAUUAAUAACCCGCAGGUAUGGCAGCUAGACAGGAUUGCUCUCCAUCUCAAACACAAGGAAAACAAUUCCAUCGGUAGUUAUAAAUUUGCAUAUGAAUGUCAAAUAUAUGAGGUUUUGAAUAAAAAUCAUUUCUGAGUAAAA
rnacentral:lncRNA from 1 species